UGAGCAAUCUGCCCUUCUCUUUGGAAUAAGCGUUGGAAACGACGUCUAAUGCCGAAUACGACCUCCUUUCGCAUGAUCGGAGGUGGAAAGCUCCGGCGGAGAAGGAUGAGCUCGCGGCCUAUCAGCUAGUUGGUGUGGGUAAUGGCCCACCAAGGCUACGACGGGUAGCCGGCCUGAGAGGGUGACCGGCCACACUGGGACUGAGACACGGCCCAGACCUCCGUACGGGAGGNAG
rnacentral:rRNA from 1 species